GCUCCAUUCCUGUGCGUGUGCAUUAAACCAGGCAGCCAGAAGCCUCAGCCCCCCAACCCUGGUGUUGCAUGCCACAGCCAUCCUGAUUCAAAAGGCGCAAAGGUAGCGCAAGUCUUCCCAGAAAAAAGGAAACUGCAGGAAGGGAGUACCAAAAGAGAAGCUAAACAGGAAUUUGCAAAACUUACUGGCUUGCAUUUUUGAGCCUGUGUGUCCACAAUACUUGUCAUAUUGCUAGCUAUCUUCCCAGUGCAGCCUUCAUCCAAGAAUAUGGGAUUCCUUUGCAGCUGCAGAGAAGUAAACUGACUGUUCUCUGAAAUACUCUCUCUUGAACUUGUUUCUUGGCUUUUAAGCAGUUCUUUGUAAGCACUCUGCGCAGUGACUUACUUCCCGUGUAGCCCGAGGGCUCCUUGCAGAGCAGCCCUGUUACAGACAAGCACUUGCUCUGGAGGAGAGAGCGCAGGCGGGAAGUCGCUCCGGAGGGACUACACCAGCGUAAUUCAUUCGGCUGCCACUGCAACUGCCUGUAUUCCACAGCCUUUGCUACUACUCAGGAGCAAUGUGAAGAGCUGAGGAUUUAUGCCUAUUGCUGAGUAAAUACCUCCUGAGGAGUCGCAUCCAUCUGGGAGGUGGACAUUUUGUAUUCUCCGGAAUUGAAAGCACAGCAUGCCCGAGAUAACCGAGCGGAGCGGGGAGUUCUCCUGCGUCUGCUCUCAGAGAGGCCUCGUCUGAAAGACGGCAGAGGAUCCUACAGAGUGAAUCUAGCCAGAGGCCGAGACGCAGAGCUCAACAGUGCGUAAGCUCUCGGGCACGCAGAGGGGAGACAGCGAAGCCGCGUCGCUGGCGUCGCAGCCACGGAGCCUGCAGAAGACGUGGCUCGAGAUGCCCCUUGCUGCCGCCGGGAGAGGGGAGAAGCGCUUGCUCUGCUCCGUGUCCCGGACGUUGCAGGGAGGCCACGGAGCCGUCGUGGCCCCCAGUGCAAGAUCCCCGCAGCUCCCGAGGACGAGCCCGGGUGCCGCUUGCAGCCCGGUGUCAGCAGGUCUGUCACAAGGCUCCCGGCUCACGGGUGGGUUGCGGCAUGGGGCUCCAGCUGCGCGCGUGGGUUGGAGCGCGCCGGGUCAGCAACCGUGGCUUCGCGGAGAGGAUCUGAGACGGGGGAGUGUUGUGGCUCAUAGCUGUUAGUCAUCCGCAGGCAUGUCUCUGGGAUGGCUGGAAACAUGUAGCAAAAAACAGAAGUGUCACACACUUCCUGAGCAAUUGGACGCACAUCCCUGUGUUGUCUGCUCUGUGGUUUCUCGUUACAUUUCCAGCACCGAGAGCAGGAACAUCUCCAUGAGUCACGGAGACGUGCUCUCACCUAGCAGCUCCCAGCGCCUGGAGCGCGCAGAGAGUUGGGAAAGGGGCAGUCUUGGGAGCCAAGCCCGGACCCGCCGAAAUCCGGCGUCUGCAAGCACCCAGUGCGUGCCAGCUGCCUCGGACGGGUCAGUCCCGAACCGCUUCGCAUGCUGGUGGGUAUCGCAAUGCAGCGAGAAUAUUACAGGGAAGAGUGGCUGCCCGUCUGGGAAUAACUUCCAUGUAUGCCCAGGCUGGAGUAUCUGCUCUGCGCGCGCAGAAGGUAAGCGAAGGAAAUCACCGGUCCUCCCUUUACGAGGCCUGCUGAAAUCUAAGAGCCCAAAUGGGUUAAUUCUUCAACAGAAGCUUUAGGAUCUCUUGCACCACACACAGUCAUCACGAAACCUCCUGGACAGAGACUGCGUCUCACCUGACUUCCCCCUGGAUCUAACUCUUCUGUUAAGGCUGCAGGGAAGGUCCCCUGCCCUGCCGGGCACUGAGCUGAGUGCCCCUUGCCUAGCGCUGAUGGGGAAACUCCUUUCCUCCUUCCGCCGGCAAGGAGCGGAGGGUGAGCAGCCUUCCCCAAAGGAGCAGAGGGUGAGCAGCCUUCCCCAGAGCCGGGGCUGGAUCUGCCUCCCGGGCUGCGCUGGUGCCUGCCUGCGCGAUGCAGACAGAGGUGGCUACCCCAGAGCCCUCCCGCGAGACGGACGUGUGUCACCAGGGGCAGAAAGACAGACAGCCGGCACCGCUCUCCCCUCUGCGAGUCCCAUGAUGUCAGUGGCAGCCAGAGCCAUGCGGUUCGCCUAUCUGAUAUGACUCAGUCUGUGUCAGCGUGGCAGCCGGUGGAGCCGGCAGCAGGGUCCCAGAGGCGGUUUCCUACCUAAAAGCAGAGAAGGUGUUAAUUGGCCUACGUGUUUGUGGCAAUGCUCAUUUCCAGCUUCUGGCAGAUGGCCAGCAGUGAGGAUGAGGACUGAGCUGUCUGGGAUCAGCGCGAAGGCUGUGUUUCACACACCUCUCAGCAAUUGUGUAAUGCCUGCAAUGCAGAAGUGCAAACAAGGCUGGCCUCUCCCUCCACUUAGGCUUGUUUCAGAACAGUCUGUCUCCGUGGGGCAAGACUCUGCUUUCGCUACCUUUGGCUGGGGAUUUCCCCAGUGCAAGGAGUGCCGAGCCGGAGCAGCCUCGCACGCUGGCUGCUCAGGCCCUGCCUGCUCGUCGCUCCUGGGGACUGUCACGCUGCGGCAGCGCCCGGGGCACCGGAGCCUCCCUCAUUCCAGGAUGCUGCGGGCGGCUGCUUUGGCCGCCUCCACGUCCUGCUCUGUCCAGCACCGGUUCUGGUCUGCUUAGUGCAGCUGGUGCACAGCAGUGGGAGAGCACAGCCAGGCCCCAGCCAGUCUUUCCACUUUUACACAACAGUGCGCAGAAGUGAUGCGUUUGUUACAAAACAGCUUGCAGAGUAGAAGACUCAAGAGGCACAAUAACGCGGGAACAGAAUGCGGGAUCUGAGGUCUGUUUGUCAGACUAUUUCAGUGCAAACCACCUACGUCCUCCCAAGCCACAGGACUCUGAUUCACAUCUGACACCAAGUACAGAUGCGAAAGAAAUGGUUGCAUUUUUAGUUUUGCUCUUUGGGAUAAGUUACCAGUUUUCUAAUAACUUGAUUUGUUUGCUCGACCUUCCACCUAGAGGAUUGAACAAAGUUUUACAACUUAGUCCAAACUUUCUGAUUGUUCAUAGCUUUGUGGAAUGAGAAUUUGGGAUGAAAAGACUGAUCCGAUAUAGAGAGUAGAUUAUUGAUAGGCUAAUGCUCAGUUAAGGCCAUCUUCCAGCCAUGCUGAUAAAUGCAUGUUGCAUUUCUGGGGUUUUCUGUCCAAAUAUGAUGUGCAGAAAUGGAAGUGCUCCCUUUGACUUAUACUCUUGAAUUCUGUGUUCAGUAAAUACCAACAACUUUUGAUUGCUUAGAAUAAAAGAUAAAUCCACGUG